rnacentral:misc_RNA from 1 species
UAUAUUGGUAGAUACAAGUAAAACAAAGAUACAUAACUAUAUAGUAAACACAAAUACAUCAAAUAAAAACAUCAUAUUUAUCAUUUUUAGAAUCAUUGGUUUUAAACAAUUUGUAGGCUAAAAUAAUUAUGUAAACAAUACAGAACUACAAUAUAGAAUACUAGAUAUAGACAUAUAGUAAUAAAACCUAGCCUUGCUACCA